GAUGAACGCUGGCGGCGUGCUUAACACAUGCAAGUCGAGCGAGUGAGUUCUUCGGAACGAUCUAGCGGCGGACGGGUGAGUAACACGUGGGCAACCUGCCUCAUAGAGGGGAAUAGCCUCCCGAAAGGGAGAUUAAUACCGCGUAAAAUUAUCGAGUGGCAUCACAUGAUAAUCAAAGGAGUAAUCCGCUAUGAGAUGGGCCCGCGGCGCAUUAGCUAGUUGGUGAGGUAACGGCUCACCAAGGCGACGAUGCGUAGCCGACCUGAGAGGGUGAUCGGCCACAUUGGGACUGAGACACGGCCCAGACUCCUACGGGAGGCAGCAGUGGGGAAUAUUGCACAAUGGGGGAAACCCUGAUGCAGCAACGCCGCGUGUGUGAUGAAGGUCUUCGGAUUGUAAAGCUCUGUCUUUGGGGACGAUAAUGACGGUACCCAAGGAGGAAGCCACGGCUAACUACGUGCCAGCAGCCGCUGUAA
rnacentral:rRNA from 1 species